GAUGAACGCUGGCGGCGUGCCUAAUACAUGCAAGUCGAGCGAACGGACGAGAAGCUUGCUUCUCUGAUGUUAGCGGCGGACGGGUGAGUAACACGUGGAUAACCUACCUAUAAGACUGGGAUAACUUCGUGAAACCGGAGCUAAUACCGGAUAAUAUUUUGAACCGCAUGGUUCAAAAGUGAAAGACGGUCUUGCUGUCACUUAUAGAUGGAUCCGCGCUGCAUUAGCUAGUUGGUAAGGUAACGGCUUACCAAGGCAACGAUGCAUAGCCGACCUGAGAGGGUGAUCGGCCACACUGGAACUGAGACACGGUCCAGACUCCUACGGGAGGCAGCAGUAGGGAAUCUUCCGCGAUGGGCGAAAGCCUGACGGAGCAAAGCCGCGUGAGUGAUGAAGGUCUUCGGAUCGUAAAACUCUGUUAUUAGGGAAGAACAUAUGUGUAAGUAACUGUGCACAUCUUGACGGUACCUAAUCAGAAAGCCACGGCUAACUACGUG
rnacentral:rRNA from 1 species